GCAUAUCAAUAAGCGGAGGAAAAGAAACUAACAAGGAUUCCCCUAGUAACGGCGAGUGAAACGGGAACAGCUCAAGCCUAAAAUCUGCAAGUAUUUAACGACUUGUCGAAUUGUAGCUUAUGGAAUCAGUUUCGAUAUUACAAUUUGGUAAAAGUUCUUUUGAAUAAGACAUCAAAGAGGGUGAAAAUCCCGUAUUUGACCAAAUAAUUAAAUGUAAUUCGGUGUGAACUGUUUUCUUUGAGUCGGGUUGUUUGGUAAUGCAGCCCUAAUUAGGAGGUAAAUUUCUUCUAAAGCUAAAUAUAAGCAAGAGACCGAUAGUAAACAAGUACCGUGAGGGAAAGAUGAAAAGCACUUUGAAAAGAGAGUGAAAAGUACGUGAAAUUGUUGAAAGGGAACCGGUUGGUAGCAAAGCAUCUGCAGCUGUUGCUUUAGUAGUUUACUACUUUAGUACUGGCGAGUAGGGGGUCAACAUCAGUUAAAACUGUUUGAAAGGAAAAGAAAUAAAAGAGCGAAAAUAAGGUAGAGUGAUUAGUAGCAUUUGGGAUUUAUUUCAAGUGUAAUUAUUGCUAGUUGCUUAUUAUAGAUUUCCAUGAUUUUAUCUUGAGCCUAGAAAUGGAUUUAACUGAGGUAAAAAACGCAGUGUGKUUAAUUUAUUAACCUAGCUAAUUUAUUGUUGRURWUWAUUAAAAAGUUUUGUUAAUUUWUUAGACAGCUUGCKGWUUAGUAUUUUGAAUGAAAUAUAUUAAUAAUAAAAUAGACUAAAAAACACUUUGGAUGUUGGCGAAACGGCACCAAUCGACCCGUCUUGAAACACGGACC
rnacentral:rRNA from 1 species